GACGAACGCUGGCGGCGUGCUUAACACAUGCAAGUCGAACGGAAAGGCCCUGCUUUUGUGGGGUGCUCGAGUGGCGAACGGGUGAGUAACACGUGAGUAACCUGCCCUUGACUUUGGGAUAACUUCAGGAAACUGGGGCUAAUACCGGAUAGGAGCUCCUGCUGCAUGGUGGGGGUUGGAAAGUUUCGGCGGUUGGGGAUGGACUCGCGGCUUAUCAGCUUGUUGGUGGGGUAGUGGCUUACCAAGGCUUUGACGGGUAGCCGGCCUGAGAGGGUGACCGGCCACAUUGGUACUGCGAUACGGCCCAGACUCCUACGGGAGGCAGCAGUGGGGAAUAUUGCACAAUGGGCGGAAGCCUGAUGCAGCAACGCCGCGUGCGGGGUGACGGCCUUCGGGUUGUAAACCGCUUUCGCCUGUGACGAAGCGUGAGUGACGGUAAUGGGUAAAGAAGCACCGGCUAACUACGUG
rnacentral:rRNA from 1 species